UACAGAGGUCUCAAGCGUUGUUCGGAUUCAUUGGGCGUAAAGGGUGCGUAGGUGGGCAGUUAAGUCAGUGGUGAAAUCUCCGGGCUCAACCCGGAAACUGCCAUUGAUACUAUCUGUCUUGAAUAUCGUGGAGGUAAGCGGAAUAUGUCAUGUAGCGGUGAAAUGCUUAGAUAUGACAUAGAACACCAAUUGCGAAGGCAGCUUACUACCCGAAUAUUGACACUGAGGCACGAAAGCGUGGGGAUCAAACAGG
rnacentral:rRNA from 1 species